GUCUUUUUGAGUAUAAUGUAAAGUCUAAUCUGCCCACUGAUAAAUAUUAAAGGGCUGCAGUAUAAUGACUGUACAAAGGUAGCAUAAUCAAUAGUUUUUUAAUUGAAAACUUGUAUGAAAGAUUUGAUGAAAUAUAAGCUGUCUCUUAUUUAUUGUUAGAAAUUUAUUUUUUAGUUAAAAAGCUAAAAUAAUUUUAAAAGACGAGAAGACCCUAUAGAGUUUUAUAUUUAUUUUUAUUUUAUAGUUAUAUAAAAAUUUAAAAUAAAAUAAAAUUAAGUAUUUUGUUGGGGUGACAGAAAAAUUAAAUUAACUUUUUUUAAAAAUUAAACAUUAAUAAAUGAUUAAAUGAUCCAUUAAUAAUGAUUAUAAGAAAAAAUUACCUUAGG
rnacentral:rRNA from 1 species